UUUUUAUACGAGCAACGCAUAAAAAUUAAUGAAUUGUGAAAUAAAACAUUAAUUUACCCAUAAUUUACCCAUCAUAAGAUUUUGAAUGACAAUAAUGGGUGUUUUGUCAAUGUUUAAAAUUUAAUCAUUUUAAUUAGUGUAAACCUGCGGAAGCAUACCGAUAUGUGGAUUGGCUGUUGCCCAUUAAAUGUUUCUUUUAAUUUACCCUGCUUGUACUCUAGUAAAAAUUUAAUGAAAGUUCACCUAUUUUUAAGUUAGUGCAGUACAGUUUGAAUUUACGACUGUAUUAUGAAUUUACGACAGCACCUAACAUAAUUUUGGUUUUUACGAACCGUGAAUUUCUUCGACUUCGGUUUCUCUGGAUUUAUUCUUGCGCCCUGUGUAAAAUUUCCGCUCAGCUGUUAAGUGGCUCACUGGCUACCGUAAAACGCACGACUUUGGAUCCUCCGAAGUGCGGGGCACCGGCUAUCUUAGUGCGCAAGCUGCACAUUUAACUGAUGGUUGCAAACUGAGAACCGGCUUUCAGGAAGAGCUUAAGGAAAAUAUGGCCCAUCUCCAGCCCCACGUUGCAAAAGAACUUCACCAAGCCGCAACCGGUGAAACUUAUGUUCGCAGUGCUGCUGAACCCGUACCCGCGUCCAUAUCUUGCGAGGACUUCAGUGCUUUUCAGGAGACCCUGAAGAAUUUGCGUCAGAUUGAUGACAGGAUAGUCUAUCUGCUGAACACGACAAUUCCUACCGAUUCCUUUUCAUCUCAAGCCAACCCGAAGGAAUUGUGCAGGAAGCUGUUUUCUGAUUUACAAAGUUCCUAUCUGGGAAGAGAGAAAGCGAUUAGAAAAUGUGUCGAUGUGACAGCUGAACGCAUCUCGCAGUUGAAGGAACGCCGGAAUCAGUCUUCGGAAUCCAGCAGUGCUCAAAAUGAUAUCCUCAAAUCCCUCCGAAAAGAACAAACAAAGUUGCGUCUGAUGCAGUCGGAACUUAACGUGGAGGAAGUUGUCAAAGAUCGGACUUUAAAGGUGUUCCACGAUCGCUGCAAACUGCAUUACCAACCUCCGUUGGGAAAUAGUUUGUAGCACGACCAUUUCGCCGAAUGUGGUUGCAACUUACAACCGGCUGUGAUCAGUCGAGCGUGCCCUGGAUGCGAGUGCAUUUGUUGUUUGUUAGGAUUAGUGUGCUAUCUGUUUUUUAUCGUCUUACAUUGUUUUAACGAACUGAAAUAACUGGCGACACGUUCUGACGAUUGUGCUUGUCGCAGUCAUGUGGUUUCGUCUGCAAGAUUUGGAUGAUCAAGACUUCGAAAAUGGGAUUUGUGUGGAUGAACGAACUUGAUAAUUCUGUCAAACGAACGCCCAACGGAUCUAUGCGUAGUUACAUACUAUUUUUUGAAACUGGAUUAUCUAUUAAUAUCUCUAAAGUCGUAAUGCACAAUUUCUUAAAUAUGAUAGCUUACUUCCGCUAUAUGUUAAAAUUCUCUAAUUACUCAUGUGUAAAACCUACGUUACAAUUACUUCUAAUUAUUCAAGAAAAUCAUCCUUAUUUGAAAACCGAUUA